GAUCAUGGCUCAGGAUGAACGCUAGCUACAGGCUUAACACAUGCAAGUCGAGGAGAAACGACAUCGAAAGCUUGCUUUUGAUGGGCGUCGACCGGCGUACGGGUGAGUAACGCGUAUCCAACCUGCCCAUCACUUGGGGAUAACCUUGCGAAAGUAAGACUAAUACCCAAUGACGUCUCUAGAAGACAUCUGAAAGGGAUUAAAGAUUUAUCGGUGAUGGAUUGGGAUGCGU
rnacentral:rRNA from 1 species